AAAAAUAGGCGCAGCUCGCAGUUGCGCCAAUUUUAAGCAAAGUAGCAAACCCUAAUCCAACGGUUAUAUCAAAGCGCCGACCUUCGCGGUGCGGUUUAUGCUGCUUCGUUGAGUGGGUUUAGUCCUGUGGUCCCAUCAUAUCGGUCUGGUUCGCUAUACUCUGAACGUCAUCUUCUUCUGCUCGGAGCUGGCCAGAGGUGCUGAAGGAGCACGGCGAGCAAUUGGCCGACCGGCACAGUAGCCGAUCCGCCAAGUUUAGCAGAGACAGCAAAUAUCGGCGAUUAUGGGCGUCACUACGUGAAGGUGAGGAAGGUCUUCACGCUCGAUCUUUUUUCUCCUAAGCGCCUUGAAGCCUUGAGACCCAUUCGAGAGGACGAGGUCACCGCCAUGGUUGACUCCGUCUUCAAGUGAAAUCACUAGAAUCGAUGCAUUAUGAUCCGCUACGAAAGUCGAUCUGGUAGCUUCCUCCUGGUACUCAACAACUAGAGUUGUAAUUGGGCUGGAUUUUGUUCCUUCAUACGCAAAAGCAUCUUUAUUUCAGCAACCAAUUGGGGAAGAUAGUGAUGAGGAACUGGCAUUCAAAUUCCAUAAUUAGUGGCUGUGAUGAGCACUGGGUGCUCUCUGCAGAAACGAAGCUGUUGUGAAUUUUAGCAUAUGGCAAAACAUUUUAAAAAAUGGGAGAAGAUUUGGAGAGAAAAAUAAGGGCCAGGGACCUUUUUUUCACUUCUGUUAAUAAAAGGUGAAAAAUAUGAGUUAGCUUGUAAUUACUGUAAAAGGCAAGUUUAUCCAUUUUCCACCUUUAAGCAUGUGGCUUAAUUGACGUAGUUUCACUGCUUGUGACAUGGCCGAUUGGUUUGUGGGGAUGGUGGAAAAGAGCGAAUGCAUGGUUUGAGAGAAGAGGGAGAUGACUGGGUUGAAGCUCAACAAUAUUGUGCCUCAUUUCUCAAUAAGUUGGCUGUCCUUGUGGGCUGUAAAAAUUUUCUUUGACUCUUACAGACGAACUUUAGAUUCCCCCCCCCUGGGUUAAUGUACAAUUUGAUUUUUCUAAGUUACUUCAUCUGUAUCUGUCGUCCUGAAAGUGGGAAGGAGUGUACACUCCAGCAAGCGAAAUAGAAAUGGGUAGAAAGGAAGAAUGGAGGCUUUGCUAUUUAUGUUCAAUUUAAAUCGAUUGGCAAAUAAAGUUAUCCUUUCUGCCACUU